GCGUUCGGGUAAUCGCUGCAAUAUAUCUUAUAUUGUAGAGGAAAGUCCAUGCUCGCACAGGCUGAGAUGCCUGUAGUGUUCGUGCCUAGCGAAUUCAUAAGCUAGGGCAGUCGGAGCUGGCUCCGGCUGACGGCAGGGAAAAUGCCUAAGUCCUUCGGGAUAUGGCAUGAAUACCUUGAAAGUGCCACAGUGACGUAGCCUUUUCAGAAAUGAAAAGGGUGGAACGAGGUAAACCCCGCGAGCGAGAAACCCAAAUGAUGGUAGGGGCACUUUCCCUGAGGAAAUGAACAACGGGAAGGACAGGCAGAAGCCUGUAGAUAG
rnacentral:RNase_P_RNA from 1 species